rnacentral:rRNA from 1 species
AUUGAACGCUGGCGGCAUGCCUUACACAUGCAAGUCGAACGGCAGCACGGGAGCUUGCUCCUGGUGGCGAGUGGCGAACGGGUGAGUAAUACAUCGGAACGUACCCAAUCGUGGGGGAUAACGUAGCGAAAGUUACGCUAAUACCGCAUACGAUCUACGGAUGAAAGCGGGGGAUCGCAAGACCUCGCGCGAAUGGAGCGGCCGAUGUCAGAUUAGGUAGUUGGUGGGGUAAAGGCUCACCAAGCCAACGAUCUGUAGCUGGUCUGAGAGGACGACCAGCCACACUGGAACUGAGACACGGUCCAGACUCCUACGGGAGGCAGCAGUGGGGAAUUUUGGACAAUGGGCGCAAGCCUGAUCCAGCCAUUCCGCGUGCAGGAUGAAGGCCUUCGGGUUGUAAAGCUCUGUCGGGAGGGACGAAGGGGAAACCCUGACGGUACCUCGCAAGAAAGCACCGGCUAACUCUGUGCCAGCAGCCGCGGUAU